UACGUAGGGCGCGAGCGUUAUCCGGAAUUAUUGGGCGUAAAGAGCUCGUAGGCGGUUUGUCACGUCUGCUGUGAAAACUCGAGGCUUAACCUCGAGCUGUCGGCGGAAACCAUCUGGCUAGAGUCCGGAAGAGGAGAAUGGAAUUCCCGGUGUAGCGGUGAAAUGCGCAGAUAUCGGGAAGAACACCCGUGGCGAAGGCGGUUCUCUGGGACGGUACUGACGCUGAGACGCGAAAGCGUGGGGAGCGAACAGG
rnacentral:rRNA from 1 species